CUUCCUUUCCCUGAUCGUUUCCGGUUCAUUUUCAUUCAUAAUUUUACAAAAAACCCAACCAAGUCCCGGCCACCUGUCACGAGCAAAAAAUUUGUAUCCACCAUGCGUCAAAGUAUUGUUCCCACCAGCCAUUUCAUCAGAGUUUAGGUUGACACCUCCAAUUACCUGCAAAAACGCAAAAAAAUGGACUUUUUUCAUAAAAUUGCAUUUUUCGGGUACUUGUACUAUCGCUGGAACCCUGAAAUUUUAGUAUGUGUUGUAAAACAAAAUUUCGGAUCCUUUAGAUGUUGUUUGAUCUUUUCACCAUGUACAGGGACGCCGCAAAUGAAUUAAACGCGAAAAUUCGAAUUGCUCAGAACCUAUUAAAGUUGGAAGAUUGUAAUUUUACACAAAUACUGGGGUUAUUAAAGUAUUUAAUCCCUGAGAAUAUAAAUGGUCCAGAUGCCACCACUAAAAAGUUAUUAAAUAAAAUGUGAUUUUUAGGUCGGACCUUCAUGGGUAAAGUUCAUUAUUGCUCGCCCUGUAUGGCUUACGAAAAUUUCGGUUAUAUGGCAUAUGAAAGGUAAAGGAUGAAGUUAUUUUUUGAAAAAAAAAUUUUUCCCAAAAUAAGUAUCGUUUGGCAGAAAAUUCCAAAAAACUGAAAAUGCCAGAACUCGUAAAAUAAAUUUUUUACAAAAAAAAGCUCCAAGUAUGUUAAAUCUCUUAUAAAACGAAGUCUUUUCGCUGAAACACUUUUUUUAUAAAAAUUUUUUUUUAGCCUCUGGAGAAGUUUGAAUUUUUUUUUUAGUCACUUUUGUUCGCUUAUAACAACUCACCCUGUAUACCGAUCUGGCCCAAAAAGUAUACAGUUCUUAAGCCCCCACCGACCCUCAUGUCCUAAAAAUUUAAAGUCUUUUAAAGGCUUUUUAUUUGAGUUCUCGCGUCUGAAAGGAAUUUGACCCGUUUUUUUACGAAUUUUUGACUUUGAGACAGUACCGCUCCGUUUGGUGGUACCGGAAAAAAAAAUCGUUUACGGAUCCAUCAUUCUCAAUGUAUUGAGAGACCCUAUGCCAAAUUUCAUCGUUUCGCUAACCAUACAGCCAAAGAUAUGAAUUUUUAUUUCCAAAAAAACACGAUUUUUCGGGCCCGGGCUCGCGUGCAUAAUAUAGUCGCAGACGCUCCUAUAUAACAAGUAUAGUCGCUUCGCUCCUAUACUUUUGGUCCGUGGGGACCAGUUUGGAACCUUUAGGUCUUAUCUGUGAAAAGGCAUAAGGUAAUUAAAAAAAAAAAUCAAAAACUAUCAGGUGUACUUAGGUGAGUCGGGGAGGCUAACGUUUACCUGCCAAGGAAAGAGAGGACCAGUUGUUGGGGUAUCAUGCUUCAAAGAACCAUAAUUUGUUAUAUAGUCGCGUUGUGUGUCAAUAUACUGUCUUAUAUUUCAAAUAUCUGUGAAAGUAUAUUAAUUGUAUUCUAAAUAAAGUCUGAAUACCAAAUUCGAACAGAAUCGGACCAAUAGCAAAAAAGUUACGGUAGUCACGUGACCUAGGCUGAAACUUAAAUGUCAGUUAUCUGUCAUAAUUUAUUAGUUGUAUCCUAAAUAAACCAUAAAUACCAAAUUCAGAGAGAAGUUCCCAUAAGGGUCUAUUUCUUGAAAUAGAACAAACAGGGAUUUUACGUCGAUUUGUUUUAAUUUUUCUUUUUAUUUUGAAAUGUAAUAGUAAUAAAAUAUCAAAAGAAUUGAGAGGAGGAGAAUAAGAAAUAAAAGAAACCAUCAAUGAAUUGAAUCGAAGCUAUAGAAGCCGAGAGAUUAGUAAAAAUGUGGGAAAAAACAAAAGAAAACUGGUUUUUUCCCACGGUAUCAUUUUUUUUUCUUAAAAUAAUUAUUGACAAAUUAUAAUGUAAGCCCUAAGUUGGCAAUUUCACGUAAAAAAAACCCAAGAAAAAAAAAAUUUUUUUUUGGUCGAAAAUCGAAAGGGGUAUAACCAUGAAAAAUUGCGAAAAAAUGGUUUUUAUUUUUUUUUAAAUAAAAUAUAACUCUGACAACUUUUUGUCUUAAACAAAAGUUUUCGGGAAUAUUACGAGGUAUCCGUGCGUUAAAACGAAUCGGUUCUAGCUAUUAUACAGUCGGAGAAAAUUGAAAAAAACUAUUAAACAUAAAUAUCGAAUUAUCAAGAGCCCUAUGGAAAAAUUUCAGUUUUUUAUUUUUCUAUCCUGUACUACUUCAGAGUAUCUUUAAAAAAGAUUAUUACCAAUUUGACUCUAAAAUGAACGGAAAACCUAUUUCUUUGCAUUUUUCGAUUUUCGAACAAAAUCCGGGGUCAAAAUGACCAUUUUUCCAAAAUAUGCUCCGAAUUCAAAAUUUCUUUUUUCUGGUUAAAGACCAUUUAAAAACUAAUAAAAAAGCUUUAUGACAAAAUUUUCCACGAUUUAUACGAGUGCCAUAAUAUAAAGGGAAAAAUUAGGUUCCAUAAGAGCCUAUGUACAGGGAUAAGACAACCGGGCUUUUACGUCGAUUUUUUUAAUUUUUCAGUUUUAUUUCGAAAGGCAGUUGUAAUAAAAUAUAAAAAGAAUUAACAGGAGGAGAAUAAGGAAUAAUAAAAACCAUCAACAAAUUGAAUCGAAGCUCUAGAAGUCGAGAUAUUAGUAAAACUGUGAAAAAAAAAUAAAAGAAAACUCGUUUUUUUCCACGGUAGCAUUUUUUUUCUUAAAAUGAUAACUGACAAAUUAUAAUGUAAGCCCUAAGUUGGCAAUAUCCAUUAAAAAAAACCCAAGAAAAAAAAUUUUUUUUUUGCUCCAAAAUCGAAAGGGGUAUAGCCAUGAAAAAUUGUGAUUAAAUGGUUUUUAUUUUUUUCUAACUAAACUAUAACUCUGACAACUUUUUGUCUUAAACAAAAGUUCUAGGGAAUAUUACGAGGUAUUCGAAUGUUAAAACUAAUUGAUUACAGCUAUCACAGAUUCGGAGAAAAUUGUAAAAAACUAUAAAUCAUAAAUAUCGAAUUAUCAAGAGCCCUAUGGAAAGAUUUCAUUUUUUUAUUUUUCUAUCUUGUACUACUUUAGGAUACCUUUCAAAAAGAUUAUUAUCGAUUUGACUCUAAAAUGAACAGAAAACCUAUUUCUUUGCAUUUUUCGAUUUUCGAACAAAAUCCGGCCCAAAAUGAAAAUUUUUUCAAAACAUGCUCCAAAUUCAAAAUUUCUUUUUUCUGGCUAAAGACCAUUCAAAAAGUAAUGAAAAAGCUUAAUGACAAAAAUUUUCAAAAUCUAUAAUAAUGCUACAAUAUUAUGAAAGAAGAUAAGUUCCCUUUAAAGCCUAUGUAUUCGAACCGAUGAUUUUUUUAUUUUUUUUUGAAAGGCAAAUUUAAGAAAUAAUUUAACUAAUUAAGAUAAAAGGAAUAGGGUAAUACGAAAUAUUAUCUAUAAAUAUAUACAUAUCAUCUAAUAGCAGAUUUUAAUCAAAUAGGAAAUUUUGAUAGUCACGUGACCCUAGAACUUAAUAUUUUAAAAUUUUGUAAAAAAUCAACAAUUGCAUCCUAAAUAAACCCCAAAUUCCAAAUUUGAACCCAAUCGGAUCAAUAGCAAAAAAGUUAUGGAAGUCACGUGACUUAAAAAAUUCAACAUGUCAAAUUUCUGUCAAAAUUUAUUACUUGCAUCCUAAAUAAAGCCCAAAUACUAAAUUUCAACCCAAUCGGAUCAAUAGCAAAAAAGUUAUGGAAGUCACGUGACUUAAAAAAUUCAACAUGUCAAAUUUCUGUCAAAAUUUAUUACUUGCAUCCUAAAUAAAGCCCAAAUACUAAAUUUCAACCCAAUCGGAACAAUAGCAAAUAAGUUAUGGAAGUCACGUGACUUAAACAUUCAAUAUGUCAAUUAUCUGUUAAAAUUUAUUAAUUGUAUCCUAAAUAAAGCAUAAAUACCAAAUUUGAACCCAAUCGGACUCAUAGCAAAAAAGUUACAAUAGUCACGUGACCUGGAAGUCAAAUGUCAAAUAUCUGUGAAAAAUUAAUAAUUGCAUCCUAAAUAAACCCCAAAUACCAAAUUUCAAUCAAAUCGGACAAAUAGGAAGAAAGUUAAGGUAGUCACGUGACCUUAAAACAUAGUCAUGUCAAAUAUCUGUAAAAAUUUAUUAAUCUUAUCCGAAAUAGGUACUAGGUACCAAAUUUCAACCAAAUCGCACCAAUACCAAAAAAGUUAUGAUACUCGACUAACCUUAAAAAUCAAUAAUUUCAAAAAAAUUUUAUUUAUAUCCCAAAAGCAAUGUUUAAGAAUUAUUAGCAUAUAUUAAUAAUAAACUAAAUAGUAAAAACUCACCUAAUAUCGAAAUUUUUAUUUUAAAUUAAAUAGAUCAUUACGACUGACCCGUGUAUAUAUUCGAAUAAUUUUAAUAAAAUAAUCGGGCAAAUUUCAUUUCGUCUCACCCCGGUAUAAAGACACUGACAUUUCAAAAAAACGGCAUUUUUCGAAGACGUCAAAAUGUUUGCCGAAUUUUCCUGGCCGCAAUACACAAUUUCCCCUAUUGAUAUGCACAGAUUCGGAAAGCCCAUUCAUUUUCUGAUUCGGUGCUUCCUUUCCCUGAUCGUUUCCGGUUCAUUUUCAUUCAUAAUUUUACAAAAAACCCAACCAAGUCCCGGCCACCUGUCACGAGCAAAAAAUUUGUAUCCACCAUGCGUCAAAGUAUUGUUCCCACCAGCCAUUUCAUCAGAGUUUAGGUUGACACCUCCAAUUACCUGCAAAAACGCAAAAAAAUGGACUUUUUUCAUAAAAUCGCAUUUUUCGGGUACUUGUACUAUCGCUGGAACCCUGAAAUUUUAGUAUGUGUUGUAAAACAAAAUUUCGGAUCUUUUAGAUGAUGUCUGAUCUUUUCACCAUGUACAGGGACGUGGCAAAUGAAUUAAACGCGAAAAUUCGAAUUGCUCAGAACCUAUUAAUGUUGGAAGAUUGUAAUUUUACAUAAAUAUUGGGGUUAUUAAAGUAUUUAAUGCCUGAGAAUAUAAAUGGUCCAGAUGCUACUACGAAAAAGUUAUUAAAUAAAAUGUGAUUUUCAGGUCGGACCUUCAUGGGUAAAGUUCAUUAUUGCUCGCCCUGUAUGGUUCCCAAAAAUUUCGGUUAUAUGGCAUAUGAAAGGUAAAAGAUGAAGUUAUUUUUUGAAAAAAAAAAUUUUCCCAAAAUAAGUAUCGUUUGGCGGGAAAUCCCAAAAAACUGAAAAUGCCAGAACUCGUAAAAUAAAUUUUUUACAAAAAAAAGCUCCAAGUAUGUUAAAUCUCUUAUAAAACGAAGUCUUUUCGCCGAAACACUUUUUUUAUAAAAAUUUUUUUUUAGCCUCUGGAGAAGUUUGAAUUUUUUUUUUAGUCACUUUUGUUCGCUUAUAACAACUCACCCUGUAUACCGAUCGGGCCCAAAAAGUAUACAGACACGUAAGCCCCAAGAACCCUUAUAUCCUGAAAAUUUCAACUCGAUUGAACGCUUUAAAAUUGAGAUCUCGUGAGCAACUCGAUUUUUACCAAUUUUUUUACGAAUUUUUGACUUUGAGACAGUACCGCUCCGUUUGGUGGUACCGGAAAAAAAAA